GCAGCUCCGGUUCACGUCACAAAGUGCCCGCCCCGUCAGGGUGAGCGAGGGUACGACGACCCGGCGGCC
rnacentral:ncRNA from 1 species